CAGGGAAUUUUGCACAAUGGACGAAAGUCUGAUGCAGCGACGCCGCGUGGGGGAUGAAUGCCUUCGGGUUGUAAACCCCUUUCAGGAGGGACGAAGCGAAAGUGACGGUACCUCCAGAAGAAGCCCCGGCCAACUACGUGCCAGCAGCCGCGGUAAUACGUAGGGGGCGAACGUUGUCCGGAUUUAUUGGGCGUAAAGAGCUCGUAGGCGGCUCAGCAAGUCGGCCGUGAAAACCCGGGGCUCAACCCCGGGACGCCGGUCGAAACUGCUGUGGCUAGGGUCCGGUAGAGGAGAGUGGAAUUCCCGGUGUAGCGGUGAAAUGCGCAGAUAUCGGGAGGAACACCAGUUGCGAAGGCGGCUCUCUGGGCCGGUACCGACGCUGAGGAGCGAAAGCUAGGGGAGCAAACAGG
rnacentral:rRNA from 1 species